UACGAAGGGGGCUAGCGUUGUUCGGAAUUACUGGGCGUAAAGGGCGCGUAGGCGGUCUGUUGCGUCCGCUGUGAAAACUCGGGGCUUAACCCCGAGCCUGCAGUGGAUACGGGCAGACUAGAGGUAGGUAGGGGAGAAUGGAAUUCCCGGUGUAGCGGUGAAAUGCGCAGAUAUCGGGAGGAACACCGAUGGCGAAGGCAGGUCUCUGGGCAUUAACUGACGCUGAGGAGCGAAAGCAUGGGGAGCGAACAGG
rnacentral:rRNA from 1 species